rnacentral:rRNA from 1 species
UGAGUACAAGAUGCUACGGCAUUGAAGCAGUCUAUGUCAUACUUCCAAGAAAAGCUUGCAAUGUCAUAAACAAAUAAUGCCUGUACCAUAACCGACACAGGUGGGUAGGUAGAGUAUACUAAGGGGCGCGAGAUAACUCUCUCUAAGGAACUCGGCAAAAUGACUCCGUAACUUCGGGAGAAGGAGUACCUUAUUUUAUAAGGUUGCAAUAACAAGGUCCAAGCAACUGUUUACCAAAAACACAGGUCUCCGCUAAGUCGUAAGACGAUGUAAGGGGGCUGACGCCUGCCCAGUGCCAGAAGGUUAAAGAAGUUGGUUAGCAUUAGCGAAGCUGAUAACUGAAGCCCUGGUGAACGGCGGCCGUAACUAUAACGGUCCUAAGGUAGCGAAAUUCCUUGUCGGGUAAGUUCCGACCCGCACGAAAGGCGUAAUGAUUUGGAUACUGUCUCGGAGAGGGGCUCGGUGAAAUAGACUUGUCUGUGAAGAUGCGGACUACCUGCACCUGGACAGAAAGACCCUAUGAAGCUUUACUGUAACUUGAGAUUGAAAUUGGACUUUAUUUGCGCAGUAUAGGUGGGAGACCUCGAAAGUAUUCUUGCGGGAGUAUUGGAGUCAUCAGUGAGAUACCACUCUUAUAAUGUUAGAUUUCUAACUUUGUAUCAUUAUCUGGUCAAAGAACAGUUUCAGGCGGGCAGUUUGACUGGGGCGGUCGCCUCCCAAAUGGUAACGGAGGCGCACAAAGGUUUCCUCUGAACGUGUAGAAAUCGUAUCUAGAGUGUAAAGGCAUAAGGAAGCUUGACUGUGAGACCUACAAGUCGAGCAGGGACGAAAGUCGGUCUUAGUGAUCUGACGGUGCUGAGUGGAAAGGCCGUCACUCAACGGAUAAAAGUUACUCUAAGGAUAACAGGCUGAUCUCCCCCAAGAGUUCACAUCGACGGGGAGGUUUGGCACCUCGAUGUCGGCUCAUCGCAUCCUGGGGCGGUAGUACGUCCCAAGGGUUGGGCUGUUCGCCCAUGAAAGCGGUACGCGAGCUGGGUUCAGAACGUCGUGAGACAGUUCGGUCCAUAUCCGGUGUAGGCGUUAGAAUAUUGAGAGGAGCCUUCUUUAGUACGAGAGGACCGAGAAGGACAUACCUCUGGUGUACCAGUUAUCGUGCCAACGGUAAACGCUGGGUAGCUAUGUAUGGAGAGGAUAACCGCUGAAAGCAUCUAAGUGGGAAGCCCACCUCAAGAUAAGUAUUCUC